rnacentral:rRNA from 1 species
ACAUGCCCCGAACUCAAGGAUAGCCCUCCGAAAGGAGGGGUAAUCCUGGAUAGUCCCGCAAGGGUAAAGCUUUAUGCGGUUCGGGAGUGGCCUUAUGCCUAUCAGCUAGUUGGUAAGGUAAUGGCUUACCAAGGCGAUGACGGGUAGCUGGCCUGAGAGGGUGACCAGCCUCGAUGGGACUGAGACACGGCCCAUACUCCUACGGGAGGCAGCAGUUGGGAAUUUUGCACAAUGGAGGCAACUCUGAUGCAGCAACACUGCGUGAAGGAAGAAGGUUUUCGGAUCGUAAACUUCUUUUAUCUGGGAAUAAUCAUGAAGGUACCAGAUGAAUAAGCACCGGCUAACUACGUGCCAGCAGCCGCGGUAAUACGUAGGGUGCAAACGUUAUCCGGAUUUACUGGGCGUAAAGAGCUCGUAGGUGGUCUUUUAAGU